rnacentral:rRNA from 1 species
UACAGAGGUCCCGAGCGUUGUUCGGAUUUAUUGGGCGUAAAGGGUGCGUAGGUGGCAAAGUAAGUUGGAUGUGAAAUCCUGGGGCUUAACCUCAGAAUUGCAUUCAAUACUGCUUAGCUAGAGAGCUGUAGAGGAGACUGGAAUUUACGGUGUAGCAGUGAAAUGCGUAGAUAUCGUAAGGAACGCCAGUGGCGAAGGCGGCUCUCUGGUACGUGACUGACGCUGAGACGCGAAAGCGUGGGGAGCAAACAGG